rnacentral:rRNA from 1 species
UACGUAGGGUGCGAGCGUUAAUCGGAAUUACUGGGCGUAAAGCGUGCGCAGGCGGCGCGUUAAGACAGGUGUGAAAGCCCCGAGCUUAACUUGGGAAUUGCGCUUGUGACUGGCGUGCUGGAGUGUGACAGAGGGAGGUGGAAUUCCACGUGUAGCAGUGAAAUGCGUAGAGAUGUGGAGGAACACCGAUGGCGAAGGCAGCCUCCUGGGCCAGCACUGACGCUCAUGCACGAAAGCGUGGGGAGCAAACAGG